CGCGGAGAAGCUGCAGACUCGCAGGCGAAGCGCCGAGCGGGUGAGGGCGAGCGCGGCACAGGACAAGUCCGCGAGCUGUGGAAUGUAAUCAUGGAGAGGAUAUCGCUCGCAGGGAGCGCCUCUUUCACCCGGCUCUUGGCUCUGCCGCCACAGAUGUUAUAGAUGACAGCUCAGCGCCGAGUGAGAAACCGGGCGUCGCGUCAAUAAGUGGUUUUCGAUCCUUUGGCGCAGCAGAAGUGAGCUGGACGAGUGAGCAGGAAGAGAGCCGCCUCGCCCACUCUGGAGCAGUGUGCCAAAAUGCGGCCUGCUCCGGGGCUGCACCGCUCAGUCCGUCUCAUGGGCAGUUUGGUCCUCCUGCUCCUGCAGGGGGUGCUGGUCUCAGCCCACACCAUGCCUGCACCCUUUAAAACCUUCUCCCCUUUGGAAGGCGGUCUCACGCACCUGGUCAUCCACAAUAAGACAGGAGAGUUAUACGUUGGAGCGGUCAACUGGAUCUACAAGCUGUCUAGCGACCUGACUAAGCUACGUAGCCACGUGACGGGGCCUGUGGUGGACAACGAGAAGUGCUAUCCACCCCCCAGUGUGCAGUCCUGUCCCCACGAGCUCGCUCAGACUAACAACGUCAACAAGCUGCUGCUGGUGGACUACGCACAGAACAGACUCAUCGCGUGCGGUAGCACCUCGCAGGGCAUCUGCCAGUUCCUGCGACUGGAUGACCUCUUCAAGCUCGGCGAGCCACACCACCGCAAGGAGCACUACCUGUCGAGCGUCAACGAGUCAGGCACGAUGUCAGGCGUAAUCAUCGAGGGCAUCGACAGUCCCAAUGGCAAACUCUUUGUUGGCACUCCCAUUGACGGCAAGUCUGAGUACUUCCCCACUCUAUCCAGCCGCAAGCUGAUGGCAAACGAAGAGAAUGCUGACAUGUUCAGUUUUGUUUACCAGGACGAGUUUGUUUCCUCUCAGCUCAAGAUUCCCUCGGACACGCUGUCCAAGUUCCCGGCCUUUGACAUCUAUUACAUCUACGGCUUCAGCAGCGAGCAGUUUGUCUAUUACUUGACCCUACAGCUGGACACGCAGCUCACGUCCCCUGAUGCCAGUGGCGAGCAGUUCUUCACUUCGAAGAUCGUGCGACUCUGUGUGGACGACCCCAAGUUCUACUCCUAUGUGGAGUUCCCAAUUGGUUGUACCAAGGAUGGUGUGGAGUAUCGUCUUAUCCAGGAUGCCUACCUUGCUCGCCCAGGUCGGCAGCUUGCCCGCUCGCUGGGAAUCUCUGAGAGAGAGGACAUCCUCUUCACCGUCUUCUCGCAGGGUCAAAAGAAUCGGGCCAAACCGCCCAAGGAGUCAGCGCUGUGCCUCUUCACGCUGCGCCGCAUCAAGGAGAAGAUCAAGGAGCGCAUCCAGUCCUGCUACAAGGGUGAGGGGAAGCUGUCCCUCCCCUGGCUGCUUAACAAGGAGCUGGCCUGCAUCAACUCACCCUUGCAGAUUGACGACAACUUCUGCGGGCAGGAUUUCAACCAGCCCCUGGGCGGCACGAGCACCAUCGAAGGGUUGCCGCUGUUUGUGGACAAGGAUGACGGCAUGACCUCGGUGGCUGCCUAUGACUACAGGGGCAACACAGUUGUGUUCGCUGGCACCCGCAGCGGCCGCAUGAAGAAGAUCCUGGUGAACUCGGUGAGCCCAAGCCAGCCGGCACAGCUCUACGAGAACGUGGUGGUGAGUGAGGGCAGCCCCAUCCUGAGGGACCUUCUCUUGAGCCCAGACCACCAGCACAUCUACACCCUCACAGACAAGCAGGUGAGCCGUGUACCAGUGGAGAGCUGUGAGCAGUACACCGGCUGUGCUGAGUGCCUGGGCUCCAGGGAUCCCCACUGCGGCUGGUGUGUCCUCCACAGUGUAUGCUCCCGGAAGGAUCGCUGUGAACGUGCCGAGGAGCCCCAGCGCUUCACCUCGGAUUUGCGCCAGUGCGUGCAGCUUAGCGUACAGCCCAGGAACAUCUCCGUCACCAUGUCUGAGGUCCAGCUGGUGCUGCAGGCCCGCAACGUCCCGGACCUGUCCGCUGGGGUGAACUGCUCCUUUGAGGACUACAUGGAGACAGAGGGGCUCAUUGAGGGGAACUACAUCUACUGUCGAUCCCCAUCUGCCCGUGAUGUUAUCCCCAUCACGCGGGGCCAGGGGGACAUGCGUGUUGUCAAACUCUACCUGAAGUCCAAAGAGACCGGCAAGAAAUUCGCCAGUGUGGACUUUGUCUUCUACAACUGCAGUGUCCACCAAUCAUGCCUGUCAUGCGUCAACGGGUCCUUUCCCUGCCACUGGUGCAAGUACCGACACAUGUGCACGCACAAUGCCAAUGACUGCUCCUUCCAGGAGGGCCGUGUCAACGUGUCUGAGGAGUGCCCCCAGAUCCUGCCCUCCACACAGAUCUACAUCCCGGUGGGGGUGAUGAAGCCCAUCACGCUGUUGGCACGGAACCUGCCGCAGCCGCAGUCGGGCCAACGCAACUACGAGUGCAUCUUCCGCAUCCAGGGGGUUUCGCACAGCGUCACAGCACUGCGCUUCAACAGCACCAGCAUCCAGUGCCAGAAAACUGUGUAUGACUAUGAGGGCAAUGACAUCAGUGACCUGCCGGUGGACCUGUCGGUGGUGUGGAACGGCAAUUUCGUCAUCGACAACCCCUACAACAUCCAAGCUCAUCUGUAUAAGUGCUACGCCCUUCGGGACAGCUGUGGCAUGUGCCUGAAGGCCGACCCCCGGUUCGAGUGUGGCUGGUGCGUCCAGGAGAAGAAGUGUUCCCUCCGGCAAGAGUGCACCCCCCUGGAGAGCAGCUGGAUGCACGCCUCCUCCGGCAACAGCCGUUGUGCCCACCCCAAGAUCUUCAAGUUACACCCAGAGACUGGCCCCAGGCAGGGUGGCACCAGGCUUACCAUCACUGGGGAGAACCUGGGCCUCCAGUUCCGGGACAUCCAGUCCGGGGUGCGCCUGGGCAAGGUUCUGUGCCACCCCAUCGAGGAGGAGUACAUCCGAGCCGAGCAGAUCGUGUGCCAGCUGGCCGAUGCCACGGGGUACCGGGUGCAGGAGGCCCACGUGGAGGUGUGCGUGCGGGACUGCCAGCCGGACUACAGGGCUGUCUCACCCAAGGCCUUCACCUUUGUGACGCCGUUCUUCUUCCGGGUGCAGCCUGCCCAGGGCCCCCUCUCUGGGGGCACGAGGAUCACCAUUGAGGGCCACCACCUGAAUGCAGGCAGUGCUGUGGCCAUCAACAUUGGCCUGAAUGUCUGCCACUUUGAAAGGAGGAACGCCAAGGAGAUUGUGUGUGUCACUCCAGCUGGCCAGAGGCCGGGGGGCACACCAGUCAUGGUGGACAUCAACUGGGCAGAGCUGAGGAACCCUGAGGUCAAGUUCAACUAUACAGAGGACCCCACCAUCCUGAAGAUUGAUCCAGACUGGAGUAUCGCCAGUGGUGGGACCCUGCUGACUGUCAGCGGCACAAACCUAGCUACCAUCAGGGAGCCCAAGAUCCGUGCCAAGUUUGGUUCUGCAGAAUCCUUCCACAGCUGCACGGUCCACAACAAUACCAUAAUGAUCUGCCUGGCGCCUUCAGUAGCUGCCUCCGAGAAGGGCUUCUCCGAGCUGGGUAGCAGCCCUGAUGAGAUCGGCUUCUACAUGGACAAUGUGCAGUCGGUGAUGGUGGUCAAUGAGACAUUCAGCUACUACCCAGACCCCAUCUUUGAGCCCCUCAGCUCCACUGGUGUCUUGGAGCUCAAGCCCAGCUCCCCACUCAUCCUCAAGGGCCGAAACCUGAUUCCCUCUGCCCCCGGAAACUCACGGCUGAACUACACGGUGCUCAUUGGCGAGACCCCAUGUGUGUUGACGCUGUCAGAGACCCAGCUGCUGUGCGAAUGGCCCAACCUCACUGGACAACACAAAGUCACGGUCCGAGUGGGCGGGUUCGAGUACUCCCCUGGCACCCUACAGAUCUACUCGGACAGCCUGCUCACGCUGCCCGCAAUCAUUGGCAUCGGGGGCGGCGGCGGCCUGCUGCUGCUUGUCAUCAUUGCCGUGCUCAUAGCUUACAAGCGCAAGUCACGUGAUGCCGACCGUACGCUCAAGCGUCUGCAGCUGCAGAUGGACAACCUGGAGUCCCGAGUAGCGCUGGAGUGUAAGGAAGCGUUUGCUGAGCUGCAAACUGACAUCCACGAGUUGACGCAGGAGCUGGAUGGUGCAGGCAUCCCCUUCUUGGACUACAGGACCUACGCCAUGAGAGUGCUCUUCCCCGGCAUUGAAGACCAUCCUGUGCUCAAGGAGAUGGAGGUCCAAGCCAACGUGGAGAAGGCACUCACUCUGUUUGGGCAGCUUCUCAACAAGAAGCACUUCUUGCUCACCUUUAUCCGCACUCUGGAGGCCCAGCGCUCUUUCUCGAUGCGUGACCGCGGGAAUGUAGCAUCGCUCAUCAUGACAGCUCUGCAGGGCGAGAUGGAGUACGCCACGGGGGUUCUCAAGCAGCUUCUGUCCGACCUCAUCGACAAGAACCUGGAGAGCAAGAACCACCCUAAGCUGCUGCUGCGUCGAACGGAGUCUGUGGCGGAGAAAAUGCUGACAAACUGGUUUACCUUCCUCCUCUACAAGUUCCUGAAGGAGUGUGCAGGAGAGCCACUGUUCAUGCUGUACUGUGCCAUGAAGCAGCAGAUGGAGAAAGGUCCAAUCGACGCCAUCACAGGAGAGGCCCGUUACUCUCUGAGCGAGGACAAGCUCAUCCGCCAGCAGAUCGACUACAAAACCCUGACCCUGCACUGCGUGAACCCUGAAAACGAGAAUGCCCCUGAGGUGACGGUGAAGUGCCUGAACUGCGACACCAUCACCCAAGUGAAGGAGAAGCUCCUAGAUGCUGUCUACAAAGGUAGCCCUUACUCCCAGAGGCCCAAAGCCAGCGACAUGGACCUGGAGUGGCGGCAAGGCAGGAUGGCCAGAAUCAUCCUCCAGGAUGAGGAUGUCACCACCAAGAUAGAUAACGACUGGAAGCGGCUCAACACGCUGGCGCACUACCAGGUGACGGAUGGGUCAGUGAUCGCCUUGGUGCCCAAGCAGAACUCUGCGUACAACAUUUCCAACUCCUCUACUUUCAGCAAGUCUCUCAGUCGAUAUGAGAGCAUGUUGCGCACAGCCAGCAGCCCGGACAGCCUGCGCUCACGUACACCCAUGAUUACGCCUGACCUGGAGAGCGGCACCAAGUUGUGGCACUUGGUCAAGAAUCACGACCAUUCAGACCAACGGGAGGGUGACCGCGGCAGCAAGAUGGUGUCUGAGAUCUACCUGACUCGCCUGCUGGCCACUAAGGGUACAUUACAGAAGUUUGUGGAUGACCUUUUUGAGACCAUCUUCAGCACCGCACAUCGCGGCAGUGCUCUGCCCCUGGCCAUCAAGUACAUGUUCGACUUCCUGGACGAGCAGGCUGACAAACAUCAGAUCACCGACCCGGACGUCCGACAUACCUGGAAGAGCAACUGUUUGCCCCUGCGCUUCUGGGUGAACGUGAUCAAGAACCCGCAGUUUGUCUUUGACAUCCACAAGAACAGCAUUACGGACGCCUGCCUGUCAGUGGUGGCCCAGACGUUCAUGGAUUCCUGCUCCACAUCAGAGCACAAGUUGGGCAAAGACUCACCCUCCAACAAGUUGCUAUAUGCCAAGGACAUCCCCAACUACAAGAACUGGGUAGAAAGGUACUACUCGGACAUCUCUCGGAUGCCGGCGAUCAGCGACCAGGACAUGAGUGCUUACCUGGCAGAACAGUCACGGCUGCACCUCAACCAGUUCAACAGCAUGAGCGCCCUGCACGAGAUCUAUUCAUACAUUGUUAAGUACAAAGAUGAGAUCCUGUCGGCGCUGCAGAAAGACGAACAGGCGCGGAGACAGAGGCUACGCAGCAAGCUGGAGCAGGUCAUCGACACGAUGGCGCAGGCCAGCUGAGGACCCGAAAUCAAUGAGACGAGAAGGAAGGACUGCAAGCACUGAAGCAGUUGCACUGGUGUAGAGCACAGAGCCGGACGCGUGUGUGUGGGCUGGUGUCUGUCCUCCCCUGUCCAAAACCUUCCCCGGUCGACCUGCUGUCCACACAGAACACACAUCUGACAGAGAUUUGCGUUAUUACUGUUGAUCUUUUCUUGCCUGUCCCGCAUUGCCAGGACAGAGGUUCGAGGAUACAAAGUCUGUGGGGAAAGGGAGACAGGUGAAGGAUUUCUCUGCUUCCCCCCUAUUAUGUGAUGCUGCGUCACCUCCCACGUGUGCUGUGUGCCAGGGUCCCUUAGAAAGAGGUGAAUGUUAAUCCAACAUGAAGCAAACAACCCUAGAUUACCACCUCCUUGGGAUGGGAGGGAGAAGAAAACUGGCAUAGUGGAAUAUUUAGGUCACUAAUGCAGUGAGAGAUUGCUACCAAAACUGUGUUUUUAGGUAAUUGUACAGCAGGCAAUUUAGUUCCUUUUACCGAGGCUGCCUGUGUCUACGGACCAUAAUGUGGUUUUACAAAUUUGUUCUUUUCUCAUAGAUUAAUGUCUCCUGAACAGUUUGGGCCACGUUUCUGAAGCACUCCAUUUAGAAAGAGGGAGACAAAUGGUGUUGCUCGCUUGCACCGCUUGUCAAAUUUACUUUUAGGGCUUUUGUUUCCUGACCAUCAUUUCACUGAGAGGAUUGUUUUUGGAGAAACUUCUGGACAGUUCCAGGCUCGCUCCUCUACGAAGGACGGGAACGGGCAGCUCCUAGUUUGGAGGGCCCUUCACCUCUUCGGGUUUCCUACUGGAGCAUAGUGGAGGCAUGAUCAUGUCUUUGGUACACAUGUGGCUCUUGGGCCUGUAGGACACCUGUCUGAUAUGAGUACCCCCAGCAAUUCCAGUUGAAAAUUCCAACUAAAUAGAGCUGUUAAAAGACCAGUGUUUCUGUGAAAGGCCUACCACUUGACACACAGUUACCUUUAAAACUGUGCAAGUGGAUGCUGCCAAUGCACAGUUCAGACCUAACAGUGCAUCAUUGUAGCCUAAGAGCUCAGUUGUCCACACGAACAGUUCUCUGUAAUCCCAGUCUUAAGUGUCUGUAGGUGAAGGCUUCUCUUUUUCUCUUGAUUGCAGUUGUGAAACAGCAGGUUGCAUUAUCAAGUCUCAGGAUGUUUUCCUUGUGUUGGUGGUGUUAUUUCAGUUCGAUUAAGGAUUUUAUUGCUGGGGAAAUAAGGGGUACGGCAUUUUUGAUCAUUUGCAUGACUACCUGUUCAGUGUAGAGCGAGUUGUUUCGGGAGAAAAAAGUAAGUACCGAGGCAUAAGCCUCCCAGUUUUUGUUUUUUUAUUUCUUUGCUAUUCCUGCCUACUUGGCCACUGUUGUACAUAGAUGAGGAGCGCUAACUGCAUAAUCGUGUUUGGUGGAAACAGUGCGAAGACUCCGGUUUAGCAGCACUGAGGACAGACGGUAUGGGAAGGACGGCCGGUGGUCAGAGAGCUGGUGACGCCGCUCAGUGAGCACAGAGCUUUCGCUCCGCACAGAGUGCCUUGUCCCCUCCCGUCCAUUCCUUCUGCCUGCCCCACCCCCCUGCCCCACCCCUGCAGCCACCUGACCCCAGUGCUCCUUCCUGUUCCCAGCAGUCACAACUCUGCAGUUUCCUAUCUCAUACAUUUACUCCUUUCCCUCUUCUUCUGUGUCAUGGAAGAGAUAAUAUCCACGUCCCCGGCGCCCUUUUACGUGUUUUUUGUGUUCUGUUUUUUAAUCACAAAUAUUGAAAAACUGUCCUUUUUAAAAUGAAAUUAAAAUGCAUAGAAACAAAGGAAAUUCACUUAAAUUUAGGCAGAGGAAACAAGUUUUAAUAUUAUAUGGAUUCUGAUACAUUUUUAAGAGUUUCAGACUUGAAGCAACUGUGACAGGUUGGCUGUUUAAUGCUCAUUGUGUAAAUAUUCUGCUAUUUCCUAUUUUGCAGAUUUAUUACUUGUAAAUAAACACACGCAUC